rnacentral:piRNA from 1 species
UGGGAAAUGACAUCAGCCCCGAGGUGUUG